UACGGGGGGGGCAAGCGUUGUUCGGAAUUACUGGGCGUAAAGGGCUCGUAGGCGGCCAACUAAGUCAGACGUGAAAUCCCUCGGCUUAACCGGGGAACUGCGUCUGAAACUGGAUGGCUUGAAUCCGGGAGAGGGAUGCGGAAUUCCAGGUGUAGCGGUGAAAUGCGUAGAUAUCAGGAGGAACACCAAUGGCGAAGGCAGCUCGCUGGGACGUGACUGACGCUGAGACGCGAAAGCGUGGGGAGCAAACAGG
rnacentral:rRNA from 1 species